rnacentral:rRNA from 1 species
UACAGGGGGUGCAAACGUUGCUCGGAAUCAUUUGGGCGUAAAGCGCACGUAGGCGGUUCGUUAUGUCGGAUGUGAAAGCCCUUGGCUUAACCGAGGAAGUGCAUCCGAAACUGGCGAGCUAGAGUACGAAAGAGGAUCGCGGAAUUCCCGGUGUAGAGGUGAAAUUCGUAGAUAUCGGGAGGAACACCGGAGGCGAAGGCGGCGAUCUGGGUCGAUACUGACGCUGAGGUGCGAAAGCGUGGGGAGCA